GUAGCUAUUGUUCUUAUUCUUGAAUAAUAAUAUGGCUCCCCGUGUUUGUGUCUCUUUGUACAUUCAGUGCUAGGCUUUAGGGGUUAGGGUAUGUGCCCUCGCACACUAAUUUUUGUCUUUAUGAACAGCCAAGGAGAGAGAAUAAAUGGCACAGGUAGCCUGUGUUUGUUGGAGGGGCAACAAAAAAGAAACUUCAUUUUCUCUGCGGGGCUUCAGCUGCCUAACGUGACAGGUGCCCAGAGAGAGUGAAUUACGUGGUCGUAAAGACUUGGGGGAUGUGCGAUGUGGUCCCGUAAGGAAGGACUCUCCUGUUGGAAGGAGGAAGGGGACGCCGUGAGACACUGGUCACUCUCAAUUGAAGUCUAGAUAAUCAGACUGAAGUGUGCCCAAGAAUGUUUAAAAAUCCGAUGACCGAGGCAGAAGAAAAUCCAUUUUGUAACUGUUGACAGCGAUUUGGGCAGCCAGACAUGCAGCACCGGGAGCGCCUGCUUUAUUUUUCUUCUUUCUCCUUGUGCCUCUAGAGCUAUUAUAGUGAUCAGCCUUCCACCCACUAAAAAUGUAAAUCAUCAGAGAACAGGGACUUUGGCUGGUUUUGCUCACGAUUAACACAUGGGCUUCAUGCCCAAUGUGGGGCUUGAACUCACAACCCUGGGAUCAAGUAUCAGAUGCUCUACCGACUGAGCCAGCUGGGCGCCCCCUUAUUUGUAUUGUUCUUGAUGAAAAUGUCAGGAUUCAUCUAUUUUGAUGGGGAGUGUUCUUAUUAAAGGAGCCCCAUUGGAAUGUAUUAAUGGCCUUCAUCCUCCUGGUGAAAUCUCUACAGAUAAGGCUCAGCGUGUAUUAUCUCCCAGGGAGUGUUUAUAUUUUAUCAGCGAAGACUUACAAGCUCAGAAAGCCUUCAAGAGGUGAAGAAUGAGCCUCUAAAAGAAAAUUUAAGGGCGCCCGGGUGGCUCAGUUGGCUGGGCGUCCGACUUCGGCUCAGAUCACGAUCUCACAGUUUGCGAGUUCGAGCCCCGUGUCGGGCUCUGUGCUGACAGCUCA